rnacentral:snRNA from 1 species
GUGCUGGCUUUCGGCCACACGUAUACUGAAAUAAGGGGGAUAGAGAGAAGGUUAUCAUGGCCUCUGUGCAAUGAUGACACGCAAAUGCAUGAUGGAUUGGUGGGUUGC